rnacentral:rRNA from 1 species
AGUGAACGCUGGCGGCAGGCCUAACACAUGCAAGUCGAACGGCAGCACAGUAAGAGCUUGCUCUUUCGGGUGGCGAGUGGCGGGCGGGUGAGGAAUACAUCGGAAUCUACUUUUUCGUGGGGGAUAACGUAGGGAAACUUACGCUAAUACCGCAUACGACCUACGGGUGAAAGCAGGGGAUCUUCGGACCUUGCGCGAUUGAAUGAGCCGAUGUCGGAUUAGCUAGUUGGCGGGGUAAAGGCCCACCAAGGCGACGAUCCGUAGCUGGUCUGAGAGGAUGAUCAGCCACACUGGAACUGAGACACGGUCCAGACUCCUACGGGAGGCAGCAGUGGGGAAUAUUGGACAAUGGGCGCAAGCCUGAUCCAGCCAUACCGCGUGGGUGAAGAAGGCCUUCGGGUUGUAAAGCCCUUUUGUUGGGAAAGAAAAGCAGCAGGUUAAUACCCCGCUGUUCUGACGGUACCCAAAGAAUAAGCACCGGCUAACUUCGUG